CCAAUAGCGUAUAUUAAAGUUGUUGCAGUUAAAAAGCUCGUAGUUGAAUUUCGAGAUCAGUACGUUGGUCGUGCCUUCGGUACGUACUGGCGUUAUUGGUUUCUCCCUUCUGAAGAACCGCGAUGUCAUUCAUUUGGUGUGUCGGGGAAUCAGGACUGUUACUUUGAAAAAAUUAGAGUGUUUAAAGCAGGCUCGCGCUUGAAUACAUUAGCAUGGAAUAAUGAAAUAGGACGUUUGAUUCUAUUUUGUUGGUUUCUAGGAUCGACGUAAUGAUUAAUAGGGAUAGUUGGGGGCAUUAGUAUUCAAUUGUCAGAGGUGAAAUUCUUGGAUUUAUUGAAGACUAACUACUGCGAAAGCAUUUGCCAAGGAUGUUUUCAUUAAUCAAGAACGAAAGUUAGGGGAUCGAAGACGAUCAGAUACCGUCGUAGUCUUAACCAUAAACUAUGCCGACUAGGGAUCGGAUGAUGUUAAUUUUUUAAUGACUCAUUCGGCGCCUUACG
rnacentral:rRNA from 1 species